rnacentral:rRNA from 1 species
AUUGAACGCUGGCGGCAGGCCUAACACAUGCAAGUCGAGCGGCAGCGGAAAGUAGCUUGCUACUUUGCCGGCGAGCGGCGGACGGGUGAGUAAUGUCUGGGAAACUGCCUGAUGGAGGGGGAUAACUACUGGAAACGGUAGCUAAUCCCGCAUAACGUCGCAAGACCAAAGAGGGGGACCUUCGGGCCUCUUGCCAUCAGCUGUGCCCAGAUGGGAUUAGCUAGUAGGUGGGGUAACGGCUCACCUAGGCGACGAUCCCUAGCUGGUCUGAGAGGAUGACCAGCCACACUGGAACUGAGACACGGUCCAGACUCCUACGGGAGGCAGCAGUGGGGAAUAUUGCACAAUGGGCGCAAGCCUGAUGCAGCCAUGCCGCGUGUAUGAAGAAGGCCUUCGGGUUGUAAAGUACUUUCAACGGGGAGGAAGGUGUUGAGGUUAAUAACCUCAGCAAUUGACGUUACCCGCAGAAGAAGCACCGGCUAACUCCGUGCCAGCCGCCGCCGUAAGAC